GACGAACGCUGGCGGCGUGCCUAAUACAUGCAAGUCGAGCGAAUCUUUGGGAGCUUGCUCCCAAAAGUUAGCGGCGGACGGGUGAGUAACACGUGGGCAACCUGCCUAUAAGACUGGGAUAACUUCGGGAAACCAGAGCUAAUACCGGAUAAUUCUUUUCUACACAUGUAGGAAAGCUGAAAGACGGUUUCGGCUGUCACUUAUAGAUGGGCCCGCGGCGCAUUAGCUAGUUGGUGAGGUAACGGCUCACCAAGGCAACGAUGCGUAGCCGACCUGAGAGGGGGAUCGGCCACACUGGGACUGAGACACGGCCCAGACUCCUACGGGAGGCAGCAGUAGGGAAUCUUCCGCAAUGGACGAAAGUCUGACGGAGCAACGCCGCGUGAGUGAUGAAGGUUUUCGGAUCGUAAAACUCUGUUGUUAGGGAAGAACAAGUACUAGAGUAACUGCUAGUACCUUGACGGUACCUAACCAGAAAGCCACGGCUAACUACGUGCCAGCCGCCGCCGUAAUAC
rnacentral:rRNA from 1 species